AAAAAUAUUUUUUAAAAAUAUGCAAAAAUAUUUAAUGAAAAAUUAACAACUUUUGAUGCCAAAACACAUCUGAUUCCAGCAAGCUAACUUUAAGUACCACAAUAGAGGAUUAAAUAUAAAGCUUUGUUUCAAUCAAAAUUUUAAAAACUAAGUUGAUGGUAAUCUAAAUACAAAAGCAAAAACUCAAUAAAUUUAAAUAAAAAAGACAGCUUUAAACCAACGACUCAGUUCUUUUCAAUUCAAAAAGCAUUAUGUUUGACGCUGCUAACUAAAAAGAGGUAUGUGCCGAAGAAAUAUACAAAACGACGGUUCAAUUUACGCUGUAAGUUUG